rnacentral:rRNA from 1 species
AGAGUUUGAUCAUGGCUCAGAUUGAACGCUGGCGGCAGGCCUAACACAUGCAAGUCGAGCGGAUGACGGGAGCUUGCUCCUGGAUUCAGCGGCGGACGGGUGAGUAAUGCCUAGGAAUCUGCCUGGUAGUGGGGGACAACGUUUCGAAAGGAACGCUAAUACCGCAUACGUCCUACGGGAGAAAGCAGGGGACCUUCGGGCCUUGCGCUAUCAGAUGAGCCUAGGUCGGAUUAGCUUGUUGGUGAGGUAAUGGCUCUCCAAGGCGACGCAUCCGUAACUGGUGUGAGAGGAUGAUCAGUCCCUCGGGAUCUGAGACACGGUCCAGACUCCUACGGGAGGCAGCAAUGGGCGAAUUUUGCCAGAUAUCCAUCACACUGCGCGGCCUCUCGAUCCAUCUGUCUCAGUCGUGUGUUCCAAUGUCACCCGUAGUAGUGUGCCGAUCGAUAUACCGAGAUUCAGGGCACA